AACGUCGGCUGGUUAUAUUAUUUCUUCAAAGUAAAAAAAAAAUCUUUCAUUCUUCAUCUUUGGCAACGCGAUUCUACGUUUAAUAUCGUGUAUUUUCAUCGUUUUUUACAAUAA